GACGAACGCUGGCGGCGUGCUUAACACAUGCAAGUCGAGCGGUAAGGCCCUUUCGGGGGUACACGAGCGGCGAACGGGUGAGUAACACGUGGGUGACCUGCCCUCAGCUCUGGGAGUAAGCCUGGGAAACCGGGUCUAAUACCGGAUAUGACUCCAUGACGCAUGUUGGUGGGGUGGAAAGCCUUGUGCGGCUGAGGAUGGGCCCGCGGCCUAUCAGCUUGUUGGUGGGGUGANGGCCUACCAAGGCGACGACGGGUAGCCGGCCUGAGAGGGCGACCGGCCACACUGGGACUGAGACACGGCCCAGACUCCUACGGGAGGCAGCAGUGGGGAAUCUUGCGCAAUGGGCGAAAGCCUGACGCAGCGACGCCGCGUGAGGGAUGACGGCCUU
rnacentral:rRNA from 1 species